GUGGACAAUAAAGAAGAACAUUUACAUUAUAUUCCUCAAGUUUAUUCUGUAGCUUAACUCAGAAUGCAAGGUAAAUAGAAGUUGUGUUCAAUAUAAAUGUACAUGUCACAUGAUUGUUGUGUAAAACUUAAUAGAAUAUUAGACAAACUAACAAGGAAGAUUGGAGAAGGGUGAGUUGUUCUCCUAGUUCAUGAGGUGGUUAAUGAUGUUACGCUGAAAAUAAACUUCAAACAAUGGCAUUAGGGCAAUCACAGAGUUAUUAUUACUACUUACUCCCUCCGUCCCAAAAAAACAUAUCAUUCUAUGAUUCAAAAUUUAUCCCAAAAAACAAGUCAUUUUACCGUAUUUGGUAUGUGCAUGCGCAUGCGGAUAUCAAUUAGCGCCAAAUAUAGCUAAUAAAUAGGGGCAAAUAAGGUCAUUUUACCUUCUUAUUAAUAUGUCUUAAAAUUCCUAGAAUGAUAUUGUUUUUGGGACGGAGGGAGUAAGUGCUGACGACAACUCAAACUAUAACAUGCCCAUUGGUGAAAUUGUCACAAGCAAGUACAAAUGUUGAAAGGACCAACAACAGUGGAUGCAAAAUAACUACAAAGUUAAGGAUGCACCAAAAAUAACUUCACCAAAACCACAGUUUGCAAUGAAGGCCAAGAUACAGAUGUCAAAUUCAAGAACAAGAAAAACAACAAAUUCAACUACUCAAGCCAUCAACUUCACUAGUGAUCAUAUUAAGUGGAGAACAGAGUUUUUAAAAUCUAUAGCAAAGAAAAUUAGUGCUGAGCAUGCACCCAGUAUAUAUAUUAGAGCAAUUGUAUAGGUCAUAAAAACCACGACAACAGUCGCAUACAGUUAGACAAUGAAACACAGUCCAUAGGACAUACAUGAAACAUAAACACCUAAUGUAGCUUAUUAGGGCUGCUUGGGGAUGGCAAAGCAAGG
rnacentral:lncRNA from 1 species